CAAAAACAUCGCCUCUUGCAAAAUCAACAAAUAAGAGGUCCCGCCUGCCCUGUGACUAUAUGUUUAACGGCCGCGGUAUUUUGACCGUGCGAAGGUAGCGCAAUCACUUGUCUUUUAAAUGGAGACCUGUAUGAAUGGCACGACGAGGGCUUAACUGUCUCCUUUCCUAAGUCAAUGAAAUUGAUCUCUCCGUGCAGAAGCGGGGAUAAACCCAUAAGACGAGAAGACCCUAUGGAGCUUCAGACACUAAAACAGCUCAUGUUAAGAACCCUCACAAAAGAGACUAAACUAGAUGACCCCUGUCCUAAUGUCUUUGGUUGGGGCGACCACGGGGUAACAAAAAACCCCCGCGCGGAACAGAAACACUGUUUCCAGAACCAAGAGCRCCUGCUCUAAGUAACAAGACCUACUUGACCUUUAAGAUCCGGCAUAAGCCGAUCAACGGACCGAGUUACCCUAGGGAUAACAGCGCAAUCUUCUUCGAGAGUUCAUAUCGACGAGARGGUUUACGACCUCGAUGUUGGAUCAGGACAUCCUAAUGGUGCAGCCGCUAUUAAGGGUUCGUUUGUUCAACGAUUAAAGUCCUACGUGAUC
rnacentral:rRNA from 1 species